GGUUUGAGAGAAGAUGAAAGAGGAGAGGAGAAGAAAGGAACAGGGGGGGGGAGAAGAAAAGGACAUUAUGGAGUUCGUAAAGGGGGAAGGAGAACACAUGGGGCAAAGAAGUGGAGGAAGAAUGAAGUACAGGGAGAAGGUAAAAAGAAUAGAUAUAAGCAAGAAGAAUAGGCUGAGUUAAACCAAGCUUUGGAAGGUUUAGGGUGAAAAAAAGAAUGAGGAAUGCAUGCCUCAAUGGUGGAUACAAUCACCUCUGCUAUGGUGCUCAGCACACAGAGACGGAUCUCUGACACAGAAGUAGAUUGUGUUUGUUUGCAAAAUCUAUUGUGAUUGAAGAAGGUAUUUGCUUUCAAUCAUGCAAAUAACCUUAGGACACAGUUCCUCAACGCUUUUAAAACAUCGUGCGGCGCGCAAAAUCGACUGUGACAUCAGGCUUCCAGCAUCCACUUUGUCCUCAUUAUCACCAUCAGCAGCACUCCCACUAGAAAGAGAACCAGCAGCACCACUCCCACCACCAGCAACAAAAGCAGCGACAUCACCAUCACCAUCACCGCAGCCAACAAAAGAACCACCACCAUCGCCACCGUUUGCAACAUAACCAGCAGCAGCAGAAGGCACAGCAGGUGCAGCAGCAUGCAGAGCGAGGCGCCUACCUGCAGCAAGGUGCCCACCGUGGACGUGGGUGGCCUAGAUAUGCUGGAGCAGGUCCUGAACAGCGUGAAAGCUUCCUCUUUAAGCCAGAUAGUUACAACUCGUGUGAUAAGGAGACCUCGCUGUUUAUAACACCUUUAGUGUCUCUACAUGAGCUGCAUCGCACCCUCUCUCGGAGGCUGAUGACCUGCCUUGCCCUCAGAUUGGGAAAAAAUCGAGACCACUUCGUGAACAUGCACCUGGACAGCGGCACCAAAAACAGCCUCAGCACAACUGCA